AUGUGGAAGCGAUUAUGGAGGCUUAAGGUGUUGCCUAAAGUGCGCGUAUUCUGGUGGCGAGUUCUGAGGAAGAUUCUGCCAGAUGAAUGCACUCUUCGGCAUAGACAUAUACAACCACUUGGUAGAUGCAAAGUGUGUUUUGCAAUGGAUGAGGACUUGAUGCACGCUUUAGUGCAUUGCACUCAUGCGAAGAUGUUUUGGGAAGAAGCUUAUGACUGGCUGGGUGUUAGGCGACCACGACUACAUCCGGAAACGUGGGCUCGGGACAUUCUUGAAGACCCACAGUUCACAGAUACUCAGAGGGCGCAGAUGAUCUCCGUUAUGUGGGCGAUUUGGCAUUCUCGAAAUAGAAUUACGCACGACGGUGAGAAACUGGACCCGGUGACGACUGUUCGGAGGAUCAAGGAAGAUUUGUCCGUCUUGGAAAUACCGAAUUCUGCUGCUGCGAUUUUACCGGGGUAUGGUUGGGUGCCUCCGGAUUCGGGGGUGGAGCUUGGAGCAAACCCCAUCAUGGGGUUACGGAUCCGUUUAUUGGUGAGACCAUGGCACUGA
rnacentral:rRNA from 1 species